CGCGACCCCAGGUCAGGCGGGAUUACCCGCU
rnacentral:rRNA from 1 species